rnacentral:rRNA from 1 species
UGGGGAAUUUUGGACAAUGGGGGCAACCCUGAUCCAGCCAUGCCGCGUGAGUGAAGAAGGCCUUCGGGUUGUAAAGCUCUUUCAGCCGGGAAGAAAACGCACUCUCUAACAUAGGGUGUGGAUGACGGUACCGGAAGAAGAAGCACCGGCUAACUACGUGCCAGCAGCCGCGGUAAUACGUAGGGUGCGAGCGUUAAUCGGAAUUACUGGGCGUAAAGGGUGCGCAGGCGGUUUUGUAAGACAGAUGUGAAAUCCCCGGGCUUAACCUGGGAACUGCGUUUGUGACUGCAAGGCUAGAGUACGGCAGAGGGGGGUGGAAUUCCGCGUGUAGCAGUGAAAUGCGUAGAUAUGCGGAGGAACACCGAUGGCGAAGGCAACCCCCUGGGCCUGUACUGACGCUCAUGCACGAAAGCGUGGGGAGCAAACAGGAUUAGAUACCCUGGUAGUCCACGCCCUAAACGAUGUCAACUAGUCGUUCGGAGCAGCAAUGCACUGAGUGACGCAGCUAACGCGUGAAGUUGACCGCCUGGGGAGUACGGCCGCAAGGUUA